rnacentral:snoRNA from 1 species
AGCCUGUGAUGACCUAAGUUAUAAGAGUAGUGGACAGAAGAGGUUUCUGAAAACCUAAUACUGAGGCU